GGGAAACUGGAACAGGGGCCAGCCCCAGGCCCCCAGACCCAAACAAGUUUUUGGGGCG
rfam:Tupaia chinensis contig200590, whole genome shotgun sequence.